UUUUAAUGUUUUUGAUGUUUUGUAGAGAGAGAAACAAAUCAGUUGCAGAGAAAAUAGAUCUAGGUUUUCUUGUCAUUCUACCUCCUUCCCUUCGUUUGCUUCUAUUACAAUUGAUCAUAAAAAAUAUGAUCCAAUAGGUAGCGUAACCGAAUAUAUCAGUUCAACAAUUUCAUUGGAGAUUUCGCAAAAAUGAACUAUUGGAUUGGGUCUUCGAAAUUUUGAAGGAGAAAUUAAAUAAAACAUAGACGUAAAGGAGAUUGAGAAGAAGCAUUAGAAGGAAAGUUGGGUUAUAUGGAUUAUUUUUUCCGCUACAAUCAAAACCGGAGAUGUUGAGAAAGGGACUAUCGUUGAAUAGAUGAUUGAAGAAGUAGUGAGGGACAGUGAUCAUUUAAGGAGCUUAAUUAAUAUUUUGUGUAGCUAAAAGGAAAGUGGGUGUAACUUCCUUAAAUGACACAAGCUCAAGAUCACACCAGGUUAUAAGCUGGUGUCCCAUGUAUUAUCACUUUAACCUUGCAUUUAUGGUGUGGCUCCAACUUCUAUCUUUUGAUGGGGAGACAUGGAAAGACCGGAUCAUUUUGUAGGCGUGUAUAUAAUUGUACAAGAUGAUGCAACGCGGUGCAAGGUUAUCUGCUAAACUUACCUCUACAAAUCUAGCUGUUAUCCAACUGGAGCUUGGCAUGGUUGAUAGUUUUUUGUCUGUGCGGACUAGGAUGGCAGUUUGGCAUAAUUGGAUUUUUUUUUGGAUCUUUGCAGCGGUGUACAUAAUUGUACACACAAAUGUAAAUUAAUUUUUUUAAAAUUAAAAUUAUAUAGUCAUAUGUGUACUCUUUUUGUAGC